GUGACACUGAGCGGGCGCAGGGGGCCGAGUCGGAGAUCGAGCUUGAGUUCGGGAGCGGCAGCAGAGGGGGCAUAGACACUCUGAGCAGCCUCGGCGUCUCCUCAGCAUUCCUGACUGUGGCCCGCAGUGCCCGACUCCUGGGUUCUCACUGAAGACGCUGCGCGCUGCUGCUUGGGGAGGGGGUGUGGAGCCGGUUCUGCGACCGCAGUGGCUGUCGUCGGGGGUCGACCGAGCGCUGAGGUGUGGAGAGCCUCGCCCGGGGUCGAGCCGAUAACAGGGUUCGGGUGUCUGGUGUGUGACCAUCACAGGUCUAUUCUGGAUAGCAGGUUUUGUGAAGACAUUUAUUCUUUCUUGGACCUCAGAUUUCCCAGACAUCUCAUGGGUUUGUGGAUGCACUUAGAUGUUUGCAAUGAGCACUGUGGCUGGCAUGCCC
rnacentral:lncRNA from 1 species